rnacentral:rRNA from 1 species
AUUGAACGCUGGCGGCAUGCUUUACACAUGCAAGUCGAACGGUAACAGGCCGCAAGGUGCUGACGAGUGGCGAACGGGUGAGUAAUGCAUCGGAACGUGCCCAGUCGUGGGGGUUAACGCAGCGAAAGCUGCGCUAAUACCGCAUACGAUCUCUGGAUGAAAGCGGGGGACCGAAAGGCCUCGCGCGAUUGGAGCGGCCGAUGUCAGAUUAGGUAGUUGGUGGGGUAAAGGCCCACCAAGCCAACGAUCUGUAGCUGGUCUGAGAGGACGACCAGCCACACUGGGACUGAGACAUGGCCCAGACUCCUACGGGAGGCAGCAGUGGGGAAUUUUGGACAAUGGGCGCAAGCCUGAUCCAGCAAUGCCGCGUGCAGGAAGAAGGCCUUCGGGUUGUAAACUGCUUUUGUACGGAACGAAACGGUCCGGGUUAAUACCCUGGGCUAAUGACGGUACCGUAAGAAUAAGCACCGGCUAACUACGUGCCAGCCGCCGCCGUAAAAC